AAAACCUGCCGUGGCAUCCAAGCCAUUCGAUUCUUGCUCGGACGAAAGUUACCCCAUCCACGUAGCAGUUAUUGUGAUGCGCACAACAUAUUUAUACCCGGAGUGUGUAUUGUUUCAUCGGGAACUACGCACAAAGGAUGGGAUCACAGCGUGCCGUUUGACCGGCUCGUUUUUACAUUUUUCAAUUUACCUCCAGUCAUACGUACACUUCAAUUUCCGCCCGAGUACCAAUGCUAAAAGGCUGAAGUGGAUUUUUAUACCGAACCAAUUCAACUCUUGAUAUAUUGAGUGUAUCUCGAGUACCAUGCAGACACUAUUUCCUGCUGUAAAAAUAUAUUCUUGCAACGGGAUAAGUAUACGGUAGUGACACACCGGCGACAUUGUGUUGCAAAACUGAGGGAACGGGUUGCCGGGGUCCCAGUGAGUUAUGGAUAUCGUGGGUGUGCCCUAGCGCGAUACGUCAGGACACCGGGGUACCUGCGUCACGUUUACGUUUUUGAUCAUCGAUUAAAUAAUUAGCAAGGAAUAACCAUCUGCACUCUCUGAUAGAGAAUGCGCGGUAAUUAAGAAACGGAUUAAUUACGAUGCGGGUCACGCGAGGAACGCCCUUGUGACACUACAGGUGACAAGGACAAAAGAAGGCUCAGUCCGGAAAUGUUAACUCAUUGAAUUUUCACCCCUAAAGCGGGUGGCUUUCGAGUUUCGACCCCUUAUACACAUCCCGCCGUUCUGAGGGUCCUAGAAAUUAGUGGGUGCAACUUUAUUAGCUCCUAUCACGGAAUUGAAAACGACAACCGUGAACCACCGGAGCUAUACUAGAAAAUCUUUUAACGCUCCUAUUCAUCAUCAGGCUAUUUCCUGUCAAUGGAACCACUAUUAUCUGAGAAUUACAACAACACAACAAGUCCUUUCGAGAGUCUCUCGAUUCAUAAUAAAUCAUCGGUGUCAGCGGCUUGUAAACCGUCAUUUCCCAUCAUUAUACAUUGAACGUCGUCGAAUAUCCAGUCGAGCGUAAAGGCCUCGUUUGAAACGCGCGCUUCUCUUCCGUUCUGCCCAAUUUCACCGAUUUUCCGUCGGCUUUGUGUCGGUUUAUCGUUUUCGAGGCUCGCACUGCCAAGAGAUCAUUAGUAUUAGCGUAAAAGCGGGUCUGAUAUUGUCGUGAAAUUUAUGACGUUUACCUGAGUCCUCCAAUACGGUCGCUACCAUAUACACGUCCGCAUAUGUCAUAGUUUUUCUCGUCUACCCAUAUAAGGGAUGGUAAAAUCAUAAAAUCAGAGACACACCCCUAGCAAUAAGAAUCAUGAACGCGCAGCGUCGAAGGAUUAUUUAUCGAGUUUACUAUUUACAAAGUGUCUAUAGCUAUACUAGGUAGCUCGGUAAGAGACUAGCAAGAACCAUGGGGUAAAAUUUACAGCGUACACUCAACACUAGGGUCGCGCAAAUCUUUUUGUAAACCGUGACAAAUGGCCGGACUAGUCGACCGGUUGUCACGCAAGAAAUUUCAAGGAUUCUUACCAAUGAGCGACGGCCAUAGAAAAAUCCCAUUCGAAUCCCAUAAGUUUUUCUAGACGCGCGUCAGCCCCGGAUAAAAUCGCUAUCUAUACACGGUAGCGGCUAACUAAUUCAAAGGGUACCGAAAGCCAAACGAUUUAUGGCUGUAAAUAUUGAGAUAAUCGAUAAAUCCACAUCAAUCACUUUCGCGCAGCCAUCGAACAAGAUAUAAGAAGAGGACGAAGAAGAAUGCUCUUAAGAAAAUGACGAAGAUCCUUAAGUAGGAUUUGGUUAUUCGUGUAAAUUCAUAGCCACAAUUAAAAAAAAAAAAGAUCAUAUGUCAAACCGUCACGCAUGACUCAGGCUCCUCUCUAGGUGUCCAUACUUCUGAUCUACGCCGUGUGAACAUUUUUCCAAAUAGCGUCGUCGUUCUAAAAGACAUUUGAAGGGUAACUGUUUGUACAAGCACCCCGGUAUUUUUAUCUGAAUGAUGGUGACUCAUAAAGAUCAGAGCGCACGCAUGUCCCCCAGCCUUUCGUCCUCACUUCUGCGUUUCAUACAGCCUUACUAUGGCCUAUAGCAUAUCCAUGUACGCUAGAUAGAAUAUAUGUAUACUAUCCGUACUUCUGUAUAUGAGUGCGUUUGGAAGGCUCGAGUGUGCUCGAAUGUGUACUUAGCGGCAAAGAACACACUCGCUUCGCAUGUUAGUAUAGAGAUUAUGUCGUCCAAGAAGUCUAUAGUUAGUUAAGGCUACCAUUCUUCGUUGGCAGCGGCGCUUUGAGACGUGGAAAAAAAUGUCGCCCUGCAACAAUUAGACAUUAAUUCUAUUGAGGGGUUUAAGGGGGUCAGCAUUCUUCUUCUUCUUCGCUCAAGAAGGAUUAACUUCCUUCGACGUAUGUAACGGUUGUACAUACGUAUGACUGAGAUCCAUCAGAGCCACCGUUAAGCAUCGAUUCGAAUUAUGGUAAACGACACCAACCAACCGGCUGGGUCUGGCUUUCAUCAGGGUUGCCUACACGAAGAUUAAACCUGUCUCCUGCCAGUUCCUUAUCAUUGCUUGUCGGAUAGUCGUGGAGUCGCCAAGCAGUCUUGCCUCGAGAGCUCGGCAACCCCGAAGGGCGAGAAGUUAAUGACGUUAAACGAAAGGGCGAGACGAGGAGUGUGGCUCGAUUCUAUAGCAAUUUUUCAAAAAGUAAAUGCCGAACACAUGGCCCUGCUGGUUCACGGGUUGACCGAAGGAAGGGUCCGAAGGGAAUCCAGUGACACAUGGCUUCCUAGCUCUGGCUGUGACUAUUGGGGUGACCAGUUCAGCUGUCCACUAGAAUGCAUUGGGUAAUGAGCCAUUGCGUGGACGGUUUUACUCCUAAUAAAAUCCAUAUCAAGGUCUAAGCUCGACACAUUCAUUUCUCCAUACCGGGAAGGAUCAUUUGGAAGACGACUGGUAGCCACUCUUGAAAUUAAUCGCGGCGAAUGAACAAGCGAGAACGAGUGUCUUUAUCUAUCUAUCUCGGUAGACGGCAGGCAUCGUGGGAGACAUAUUCCUGCGCUAUUUCCGGGCCUGUGCUUUUUAAACAGCCAUUCGACCGUGCUCUGACCUAACCACCCUCAUCUGGAACUAGGUGUAAACAUAUCACGCGUGCAGAUCAUACGUAUGGCGACGUACGAGGUGCUAGACGCAAUUGCUCAUCGCUCGUUGUACGAGGGAGAUUCGUCAAAAGAUUUCUCAUGCCAGACAUGUAAAUGAUAUUUAUCAUUGAGCGCGCUCUGACAAUUCGUUCAGUUGACUCACGAACGGCAGAACUAAAGGCAUUGAAGUGGAUGGAAUCCAUCGAAGAUUCUGAUGAAUGCAGAAAGACGUAUGCCGUAACAUGUAACGUAACGGCGAAUGGCGACUUUGAAAAACGUGCAGUUUCAACAGGUGCUUUUGCGAACUUGAAGUAUGCAGGUAAAUACGUUUUAUACUGUGGUCAUCCGAACCAGCCCAACUGGGAUGGAGCGAAAGAAAUGGGUAACAUCAGGCAGUUUGAGGCCAGGAGACAAGUUCGGGUCAAUUCCUCUUGAGCUUUACUCUCAUCAAGCUCCAUUCUCUUCUCUACUUGAGAAGAUUAGACUGUCACAAGCUUUUCCACGUUUCCACGUUUCACAAUGCGUGCCAGAAGGGGAAUCUCCAUUGAGUGACCGUAUCCACUCGAAACAAAAAUAAUUCUGUCCCUACAGAGUCGGGGCUAUGUAAGCCCUCGACAAUGGGGAUGAUAUUUUCUCUAAUGAACCAAGAUGAGUACACUCCAGUGCCAAUUACACUCGAGCCACGUUCCGUAUUCCGUGCUGACUGCUACUCGACUUGUCAUUUCAAAGUCGAAAUGUCGACGGGAGAGAACGUCGGGAAGAAAAGAAAAGAGUACGAGGAAGGAGAAGAAAGACGAAGAAACGUCACUGGAGUACCGGGAGAAAAUAAAUCAUCGUGCUUAUUCGGUUUCAGUUCAACUGGACGGGAUAUAUGGAAUCGUGCAAUCUUCUCUUCCCUAUUGAGGUCCUUGGAAAUCACCUUCGGGACAAACCUUACGGGGUUGCUCGAGGGCUUCUGUAAAUUCGCAACCAGUGAAUUCGAACCCUCGGCCAAAUGAAAUCACGCUCGAUCUAACGUUAUGCAAAUACAGCGGUCACUAUCUGGUCAGUUUUGCAUAUGAAUGCCAAGGGGAACGGUACACUUAGGUCCUAGGUAUAUACGACUCUAAGAUGAUGCUAAUCAGCACCCGAAAAUCUACCCCGUGGAAUGGUUCGUUUGGUUUAGUGCUUUCCAGGGUCAGCGAUGAAUGGACAGCCGGUUGGAACCGGAGGACCUUGGUACCUAAUGGUCUUGACAGGACCGUUUUUUAUCAGGACACAGUCCCACGAAGAAUUUGAAAAUGAAAUGAACAUCUUUUGUAUAUCGCGUAUGAAAAUAUUACAGAUAUCUGGAAGCAAUGUUAGAAAAUUAUAGAAAGUCGUACAAGCUGGUUUUAAGAGUCCCAACGGCACCAAAUGGUUUCGACGACCGUGCUAUAGAGAAUAUAAUCCCAUGGGGUAGCACCUACUUCGCUCGAUACAUGUAAAAGUAUUGUCGCUUAUGUUAAGCAAUAAAUUGUUAAAUGAGACACAGCUAGACCGACAAUUGUUGUCCGUUUAUCUGUACCGACGGUAUUACCCGGAGGGUGCGCACCCUCUGAUUAAAAAUUCUCGCGUGGUUAAGCCUCUGAUAAUGAUCUUCCCUAACCCUUCUGCCUCUGGGGUUUAUACAAG